rnacentral:misc_RNA from 1 species
AUUUAUACUUUUAUUAUAUUUUCAAAAUCAUAUAGCGAUCGAGUAUUUGCGAAGAAGCGAGAUUCGCGUCGUUUUUGCACAAUUAAAAUCUAACUUCGCCAUGUUCGCUGGUCGGUUCUACCGAAAAUUUCGACUCGCCUUCGACCAUAGCGAUUUUUCUGAACGUAACACACGAUAGUAUCGAGAUUUGUGGGAACCGAGCAUCGAGCAAGACACGCGAAAAUCGGUGUGCUCGAUUUAAACGACGUUUAUCGAGGCGCCCGGUGUUCCGUAUUGUCGCCGCUGUCGAUACAUUUAAGUUAGGUCACGCGCCGUAAAGCGGAAUACGCCUCCAUCGGCUGUACGCGACCGAAAUUCGUAUCGAC